GGAAGUUGGUACUCUAACCUUUAGGGGGGGAGGAUGCCGAAGGCAGGGCUGAUGACUGGGGUGAAGUCGUAACAAGGUAGCCGUACCGGAAGGUGUGGCUGGAUCACCUCCUUU
rnacentral:rRNA from 1 species